CGGAGUGUGCAAGCGUUACUCGGAAUCACUGGGCAUAAAGGGCGUGUAGGCGGGCUUUCAAGUCGGUUGUGAAAUCCCUCAGCUCAACUGAGGAACUGCAUCCGAUACUGUUUGUCUUGAGGACGAGAGGGGAGAGUGGAACUUCUGGUGGAGCGGUGAAAUGCGUAGAUAUCAGAAGGAACGCCGGUGGCGAAAGCGACUCUCUGGCUCGUAACUGACGCUGAAACGCGAAAGCUUGGGUAGCAAACGGG
rnacentral:rRNA from 1 species